GGUCUUAGUGCAAAUGUAAAGGGGUUUAGUAAAGUUUUUUUUGCAUUCAUGGAAAAAAUGGCUACUGUCAAGUACACUUUAAGACACCGUGUAACUAUAUUUCCUUCUAUAUUGACAUAUUGGUCAUUCCUAUCGCAAAUACCUCCCUGAAAGGGUUAUUCUGAAGUAGACAAUUUUUUAUUUUCUCUUAUACUGUUUAUAUAGCAUAACCCGAAAGUAUUAAACAAUCUAAUGUUCCGCUUCUUGCAAUUUUCUGACAAUAAUGAAUACUUACUGACCCUUUAUACAAUGCUGUACAUUAAAAAAAAAUGUAUUUUCUCUGACUGAAGCCG
rnacentral:lncRNA from 1 species